rnacentral:rRNA from 1 species
UGAAACCAGGAUUAGAUACCCUGUUAUACUUUACAUAGAAUUUGUUUACUUGGGUAGUAAUAAGUUAUGGUCUUAAAAUCUAAAGGAUUUGGCGGUAUCCAAGUCUGGUUAGAGGAACCUGCACUGUAAACGAUAAUCCACGAACUAUCUUACUCUGUCUUGUUUAUCAGUUUAUAUACCGCCAUUAUAAAGUAAUAUUUAAAAUUAUUUAUUGAAAUAGAAGGUUUCUAGUAUAUUAGGUCAGGGUGUAGCCAAUGAUAGAGUAGUUGUGGGUUACAAUAUAAUAUUUAUAUAGACGGAUAAGGCUUUGAAAUGGUUUUAGAAGGUGGAUUUAAUAGUAAAUAUAUUUUAAUAUGGUAUAUUGAUAGUAGCUCUAGGAUAUGUACAUAUCGCCCGUCGCUCGCGGGAAAA